rnacentral:snRNA from 1 species
CUCAUGCUCUUCUGAAUAAU